UACGGGGGGGGCAAGCGUUGUUCGGAAUUACUGGGCGUAAAGCGUGCGCAGGCGGCUUUGCAAGACAGAUGUGAAAUCCCCGGGCUUAACCUGGGAACUGCAUUUGUGACUGCAUGGCUAGAGUGCGGCAGAGGGGGAUGGAAUUCCGCGUGUAGCAGUGAAAUGCGUAGAUAUGCGGAGGAACACCGAUGGCGAAGGCAAUCCCCUGGGCCUGCACUGACGCUCAUGCACGAAAGCGUGGGGAGCAAACAGG
rnacentral:rRNA from 1 species